AUUGAACGCUGGCGGCAGGCCUAACACAUGCAAGUCGAACGAGUGGCGGACGGGUGAGUAAUGUCUGGGAAACUGCCUGAUGGAGGGGGAUAACUACUGGAAACGGUAGCUAAUACCGCAUACCAUCGGAUGAGCCCAGAUGGGAUUAGCUAGUAGGUGGGGUAAUGGCGCACCUAGGCGACGAUCCCUAGCUGGUCUGAGCGGAGGACCAGCAACACGGGAACUGAGACACGGUCCAGACUCCUACGGGAGGCAGCAGUGGGGAAUAUGGCAAAAUGGGCGAAAGCCUGAUGCAGCCAUGCCGCGUGGAUGAAGAAGGCCUUCGGGUUGUAAAGUACUUUCAGCGGGGAGGCGUUACCCGCAGAAGAAGCACCGGCUAAGGCCGUGCCAGCAGCAGCGGUAAUUG
rnacentral:rRNA from 1 species